AUUGAACGCUGGCGGCAUGCUUUACACAUGCAAGUCGAACGGCAGCGCGGGCUUCGGCCUGGCGGCGAGUGGCGAACGGGUGAGUAAUACAUCUGAACGUGCCCAGUAGUGGGGGAUAGCUCGGCGAAAGCCGGAUUAAUACCGCAUACGACCUGAUGGUGAAAGCGGGGGAUCUUCGGACCUCGCGCUAUUGGAGCGGCCGAUGGCAGAUUAGCUAGGUGGUGGGGUAAAGGCCUACCAAGGCGACGAUCUGUAGCUGGUCUCAGAGGACGACCAGCCACACUGGCACUGAGACACGGCCCCGACUCCUGCGGGAGGCCGCAGCGGGGAAUUUUGGACGAUGGGGGAGAGCCUGAUCCUGCAAUGCCGCGUGUGUCAUGAAGGCCUUCGGGUUGUAAAGCACUUUUGGCGGGAACGAAAAGGACUGUGCCAAUACCACGGUUCGAUGACGGUACCCGCAGAAUAAGCACCGGCUAACUACGUG
rnacentral:rRNA from 1 species